UGUUGCUGCAGCAGGCUCGCCCGAUUUGUUCUAGUAUAGUGUGUCAUCUCACCAUCCCUUCUUUUUGACAUCAAAAGCUUUCUUAUUCUUGUGUGUCUGCAUCUGGGUCAUAACAUUAUUGAACAGUGACAUUACCACAGUCUAAUUGACACCACAAACUUGGGGCCAGAAGACAGAGGCAGUACCAAGGACUGACUGCUGCUCCAGCUAAGGGGUUUCAGUGUUUUUGGGACACUGUGCAUGAGGGUAAAGUGGAGCACAAGAUCUGUAGACGGAUUAAUGCAGCAGCUGCAGUCACACAGGAACCCAGUGUUUGGAUGGGGAAAAGACUGAAACAGAUAGGGAAGCAGCACUGUCUCACCGGAGGCCGGCCGCUGCUGGUGGUACAAAGGGAGGUCCAAAGGUGAAGAGUCUGGCUGUGAACAGCAGGAGACGAGCUUUUCUCACUGUGGACUAAUUGGCUGGCCAGCAACUCAGAGCCGAGGACAAGCCUUCCUGUAAGCAUCUUUCACAUUCACCAUGUGUCAGCAGCCGGUGAACUCACAUUUUUAAAAGCAUCCUGUGCUUCUGCUAAAUAAUGCAGGUUAUGUGAUGCUGAUGCAUUUUCUUGAGAAAAUAAAGGUUUAUGACUCUAAACUGGAUUUUUCAGCAGAUCACUCACUACUAGAAAAUUAACAACCUGAUUCCUUUGAUUCCAGCUGCUAUGGCCAAACAUUAAGUUUUCGUUACAUGAAUGGCUUCAAGGUAUUGAAAGGUUUAAUAAUAAACAUCAAAA